GUGCUCACUUAAGUAGCACGUAUACGAAAAUUGGAAUGAUACAGCAAAGAUCAUUAACAUGGUGCCUGUGUGAGGAUGAUUUGCAAAUUUGUGAAGUGUUCCAUAUUUUU
ensembl:snRNA U6 U6 spliceosomal RNA